GAAUAAUGUUCAUUUCAUGAUAGUUUUGCCAGUUUUCUUCUUCAACUCACUGUUUUUAUUACAUUAAGAACAAAGGAAGGCAACAUAAGGCAACACUUCAUUUUUCUCCAUUGUAAAAUGCAUGCAAAGAUCAACCAUUUGACUCCCCUGUCAAAUGUUUAGCUGCUUUCCUCAGUCCUCCAUAGUGUUAAAUUGUGACGCAGGUAGGGAACAGCCCCCACCCCCUCACCCCGUCUGACCUGUGCAUCUGUUGGUGAAAGCUCUGCAGUCAUAUUCCCCUGUUUUCACGUGCUCGGAGCAGCAGUGCAGAAAUGCUCGAGCAGAUGAUCAUAGCAAUGUCUGUUCUCCUGACCCUCUUCCAUGCCGAACUUACUGAAUCCUCCUCAAGCUGCUAUCAUGAGCAAGCCGAAAUAAAAAGAGUGGAUGAAAAUGCAACAGCAUUUGUGUCCUGUCCAGCACUUGCUGUGCAUAAAAAACCAUCUAUCACUCUAUAUAAGGGAAAUACAAAGCUGCACUCAACAAACCUGAGUGAUGUGGACAGUAAUAAAACAUGGCAGCGUUUUCAGGUGUACAUACAAAACUCCUCAGUCUCAUAUAAGAUUUUAAGGACUGAAGCCAAUGACACAGGACUCUACAACUGCGUAAUCGACCCGCACUUCAGGACAAAGGAUUCACUAACUAUGUUGCUCAUUAAAGACGGUCUGCUGCCCAUAGAAUCAACUGUCACUUGUCCCACUGAUCAGAUACUGCCACUUAUUGUUGGCUGUGUGGUCAUCAUUGUAUAUAAUCUGUUCGUCACUGUCUUUGGCUGUUACCUCAAAUAUAAACUCAAGAACACAGAGCCAGCUGAGAAUCCCUACAUAAACACAAGACCAAGAGGAUUCAGACGACGCUAA
rnacentral:lncRNA from 12 species